rnacentral:rRNA from 1 species
AGUGAACGCUGGCGGUAGGCCUAACACAUGCAAGUCGAACGGCAGCACAGUAAGAGCUUGCUCUUACGGGUGGCGAGUGGCGGACGGGUGAGGAAUACAUCGGAAUCUACUUUUUCGUGGGGGAUAACGUAGGGAAACUUACGCUAAUACCGCAUACGACGUACGGGUGAAAGCAGGGGAUCUUCGGACCUUGCGCGAUUGAAUGAGCCGAUGUCGGAUUAGCUAGUUGGCGGGGUAAAGGCCCACCAAGGCGACGAUCCGUAGCUGGUCUGGGAGGAUGGUCAGCCACACGGGAACUGAGACACGGUCCAGACUCCUACGGGAGGCAGCAGUGGGGAAUAUUGGACAAUGGGCGCAAGCCUGAUCCAGCCAUACCGCGUGGGUGAAGAAGGCGUUCGGGUUGUAAAGCCCUUUUGUUGGGAAAGAAAAGCAGCAGGUUAAUACCCCGCUGUUCUGACGGUACCCAAAGAAUAAGCACCGGCUAACUUCGUG